AUUGAACGCUGGCGGCAUGCCUUACACAUGCAAGUCGAACGGCAGCACGGGAGCAAUCCUGGUGGCGAGUGGCGAACGGGUGAGUAAUAUAUCGGAACGUGCCCAGUCGUGGGGGAUAACGUAGCGAAAGCUACGCUAAUACCGCAUACGAUCUAUGGAUGAAAGCGGGGGAUCGCAAGACCUCGCGCGAUUGGAGCGGCCGAUAUCAGAUUAGGUAGUUGGUGAGGUAAAGGCUCACCAAGCCGACGAUCUGUAGCUGGUCUGAGAGGACGACCAGCCACACUGGGACUGAGACACGGCCCAGACUCCUACGGGAGGCAGCAGUGGGGGAAUUUUUGGACAAAUGGGCGCAAGCCUGAUCCAGCAAUGCCGCGUGCAGGAUGAAGGCCUCGGUU
rnacentral:rRNA from 1 species